ACGCUGGCGGCACGCUUAACACAUGCAAGUCGAACGAGAUCUUCGGAUCUAGUGGCAGACGGGUGAGUAACGCGUGGGAACCUGCCCUUUAGUAGAGAAUAACUUGGGGAAACUCGAGCUAAUACUUUAUACGCCCUUCGGGGGAAAGCUUUAUGCGCUAUUGGAUGGGCCCGCGUUAGAUUAGUUUGUUGGUGAGGUAACGGCUCACCAAGGCUACGAUCUAUAGCUGGUCUGAGAGGAUGAUCAGCCACACUGGGACUGAGACACGGCCCAGACUCCUACGGGAGGCAGCAGUGGGGAAUAUUGGACAAUGGGGGCAACCCUGAUCCAGCGAUGCCGCGUGAGUGAUGAAGGCCCUAGGGUUGUAAAGCUCUUUUGUCAGGGAAGAUAAUGACGGUACCUGAAGAAUAAGAUCCGGCUAA
rnacentral:rRNA from 1 species